UCAAUGGCCCUUUUCAGGGCCGCCCACUCCCUCAAAAAAAAAGCUG
rfam:Callithrix jacchus chromosome 4, whole genome shotgun sequence